rnacentral:rRNA from 1 species
GACGAACGCUGGCGGCGGGCUUAACACAUGCAAGUCGAACGGAAAGGCCCUGCUUUUGUGGGGUGCUCGAGUGGCGAACGGGUGAGUAACACGUGAGUAACCUGCCCUUGACGUUGGGAUAACUUCAGGAAACUGGGGCUAAUACCGGAUAGGAGCCUCUGCUGCAUGGUGGGGGUUGGAAAGUUUCGGCGGUUGGGGAUGGACCAGCGGCUUAUCAGCUUGUUGGUGGGGUAGUGGCUUACCAAGGCUUUGACGGGUAGCCGGCCUGGGAAGGUGACCGGCCACAUCGGGACUGAGAUACGGCCCAGAGCCCCACGGGAGGAAGCAGUGCGAAAUACUGCAAAAUGGGCGGAAGCCUGAUCCAGACCCGCAGCGUGCGGGAUGACGGCCUUCGGGUUGUAAUCCGCUUUCGCCUGUGACAAAGCGUGAGUGACGGUAAUGGGUAAAGAAGCACCGGCUAACUACGUG